UCUGUAUUGUUAAUCUAAUUCAGCUCAAUAUUGGCUGUUGCUGGUAUUUAUAAUUGUGGCCGUUUGUUAUAUACGGUAACCAUGCCGUUAAUUGCAGGAUAGAAUGGUUCUUUAACUGCCUAAAAUAGACAAAACUAUUUCUCGACGUUUCGACCUAUGGGCCUUCGUCAGGAGAGUUAAUUAUUAUACAUCAAGUGUUGAUAAAACCUUCAAGCCGCAUGUUCCCUAGUUAUCCUUUAUGCUCAGCUAAUUAACAAACCUUAAGUUUAACCUAAAUAAAGCUCGCAGACCUAUGCAGAGCGGUGUAUAUUAAAAAUAACGGAGCGAUUAUAGAAUACCCGGCCACUUUUGAAUUUUGAUAGUGUUUGCUUUUGGGGGAUACGGGGAUACGCAGUCAUUAAAAUGACGUAAUUAUUCGAGUAGUUUAAGAGGAGAAUGGGUAACUAUUAUUUUUCAAUGAUACGGGGAUACGGGGAUACGCAGUCAUUAAAAUGACGUAAUUAUUCGAGUAGUUUAAGAGGAGAAUGGGUAACUAUUAUUCAAUGAUACGGGGAUACGGGGAUACGCAGUCAUUAAAAUGACGUAAUUAUUUGAGUAGUUUAAGAGGAAUUAUUCGAGUAGUUUAAGAAGAGAAUGGGUAACUAUUAUUUUUCAAUGAUACGGGGAUACGGGGAUACGCACUCAUUAAAAUGUCGUAAUUAUUCGAGUAGUUUAAGAGGAAUUAUUCGAGUAGUUUAAGAAGAGAAUGGGUAACUAUUAUUUUUCAAUGAUACGGGGAUACGGGGAUACGCAGUCAUUAAAAUGACGUAAUUAUUUGAGUAGUUUAAAAGGAGAAUGGGUAACUAUUAUUUUUCAAUGAUACGGGGAUACGCAGUCAUUAAAAUGACGUAAUUAUUCGAGUAGUUUAAGAGGAGAAUGGGUAACUAUUAUUUUUCAAUGAUACGGGGAUACGGGGAUACGCAGUCAUUAAAAUGACGUAAUUAUUCGAGUAGUUUAAGAGGAGAAUGGGUAACUAUUAUUUUUCAAUGAUACGGGGAUACGCAGUCAUUAACCCUAUUUGUACCGGGGGGUUUUCAUGUUGAUAUGACCGGGGGUGCGCUGAUAGGGCGCACCCCUCAGAAAUUCUGUCGAUUAACUGCUAUUAUCCUAUAAGUUUUAUUUUUACUAAGUUUCAUCUUUCUUUAACCUAAAUAUAACAAAAAAGUUAAAUUCACAUCCAAAAUGCUGUUUUUUGGCCCCAUUGAAUAUGACCGCCUAUCCGAAAAUGGCGAAUAUAGCUAAUAUUUUACCCAUUUUGGUUAUAUUUUGUAAAGAGAUAACAAAACAUUUUGGAUGUGAUAUU